rnacentral:rRNA from 1 species
UACGGAAGGCAGCAGUGGGGAAUAUUGCACAAUGGGCGAAAGCCUGAUGCAGCUAUGCCGCGUGUAUGAAGAAGGCCUUAGGGUUGUAAAGUACUUUCAUCGGGGAGGAAAAACAAAACUAAUAAUUUUAUUUCUUGACGUUACCCGAAAAAGAAGCACCGGCUAACUCCGUGCCAGCAGCCGCGGUAAUACGGAGGGUGCUAGCGUUAAUCAGAAUUACUGGGCGUAAAGAGCACGUAGGUGGUUUUUUUAAAGUCAGAUGUGAAAUCCCUGGGCUUAACCUAGGAACUGCAUUUUGAAACUGAAAUACUAGAGUAUCGUAGAGGGAGGUAGAAUUCUAGGUGUAGCGGUGAAAUGCGUAGAUAUCUGGAGGAAUACCUGUGGCGAAAGCGGCCUCCUAAACGAAUACUGACACUGAGGUGCGAAAGCGUGGGGAGCAAACAGGGAUUAGUACC